AUGUAUGUGCACUCACGGUGGGGUGGUGUGUGUGUGGCAGAGUUCGAGCUCGCCGGAAAUACAAGGGGCUGUUCGUGCGGCCGGAGGCGUUUGUGCACCGGGAAACCUCGUGUCCUCUCUCUCUCUUGUUUCUUCCUUGUCUCCGGUGAUUGCCGUGGUUCAGUGAGUAGGCUAGACACCAACAAUUGGUAUCAUGAGCUGGUGCAUCUUGGAUGUCGUCCCCUUGCUGGAGGCAUGCCGCCGGCGGCGGCGUUCGCCGGCGGCUGUGAGGUGAAGCUUCGGGCCGCGUGUCGGCCCAUGGAGGUGCGCGGCGUUGCAGCUGCCAUUGCAGACGCGGAGGCGGCGCGUGGUGAGUCCACGGCGAGCGCGGCGAGCGCGGAGGCGCUGCAUGGUGGCGCAGAGGCCGCGGACGUGCAUCAUGGCGCGGCGAGCACAACGUCGGGCAACAGAGGGAAGCGCCGCGGACGCUGA
rnacentral:rRNA from 1 species